AAAACAGUAAAAUCACAGGCUCCACUAUGAAUUCCAUUAUUGAAGUCCAACGCCAAUAAAUUCUCUGAUUUGGGGAUUAGGGUUUCUAGUUCGAAACUUUUUCUCUGAUUGCUGCGAAACCGAUCCUUAUUGCGGUCAACAAUGUCGAGCAAACAAGGAGGAAAAGCGAAGCCUUUGAAGCAACCUAAGGCUGACAAGAAAGAAUACGACGAGAUCGACAAGGCCAAUAUUCAGAAGAAGAAGGAUGAAGAAAAGGCAUUGAAGGAGCUGAAGGCAAAGGCACAACAAAAGGGAGCAUUUGGGGGCUCGGGUUUGAAGAAAAGUGGCAAGAAAUGAGUGCCGUGGAUAGCCCUAAUUACCGCAACACAUUGAUGGUUAAUUUCUAUCAAACAUUAUAAUAGUGUAUGUGAACAAGUGUGCUAUGGUUUUUGUUAUUCAAGUGUGUUCUUGCAUUUCGCACGGUGUUCUUACUUGUCAAACUUGAUUUCGAACUUGAUUUAAAUCGCGGAAGUCAUGUUGAAAUAUAGUUCUUAACGGAAUAGUCAAUUUACACAGUGUGUUCUUUUGAA